rnacentral:rRNA from 1 species
AGUGAACGCUGGCGGUAGGCCUAACACAUGCAAGUCGAACGGCAGCACAGUAAGAGCUUGCUCUUACGGGUGGCGAGUGGCGGACGGGUGAGGAAUACAUCGGAAUCUACUUUUUCGUGGGGGAUAACGUAGGGAAACUUACGCUAAUACCGCAUACGACCUACGGGUGAAAGCAGGGGAUCUUCGGACCUUGCGCGAUUGAAUGAGCCGAUGUCGGAUUAGCUAGUUGGCGGGGUAAAGGCCCACCAAGGCGACGAUCCGUAGCUGGUCUGAGAGGAUGAUCAGCCACACGGGAACUGAGACACGGUCCAGACUCCUACGGGAGGCAGCAGUGGGGAAUAUUGGACAAGGGGCGCAAGCCUGAUCCAGCCAUACCGCGUGGGUGAAGAAGGCCUGCGGGUUGUAAAGCCCUUUUGUUGGGAAAGAAAAGCAGCAGGUUAAUACCCCGCUGUUCGGACGGUACCCAAAGAAUAAGCACCGGCUAACUUCGU